ACCGUUCACCAUGGACAUGGAUGAGAUUGUGAGAGUUCAUUUUUUCCAACUUAACAAAGUCAGAAGUCAUUUCUUUCAAUGAAGGAGACAUAGAAAUCGAACCUAAAGAUUGUUAUAUAACUUGAUUUGGGAGACUGCUGCAAUAGCUUGACUGAGAAGAUGAUGAAGAUGAACAUAAUGAAGUGUAUAUAACUUGAUUGUUGGGAAGAUGCUGCUGCACUUGAAACCUGAAAAAUUUAAUGGUUAUGCAUGUAAAACUCAGAGCGCACGGGGUUGCCACACUAACCUUUAGGUUCGAUUCGCCCCCACCAAUAACUGUAUAUUUGAUGCAAAAUGAAUGACUAGCGAAUACCCUUCAAGAUACUAUGAGUUCCUUGAUGUGUAUUGCACAGCCACACCAAGCGUAUUUCCUAACAGUAUUUUACAGAUUUAUGGUUUCAGCAAUUCACUCAUGCAUUAGAGAAUUGAUGGAUGAUUUAAAGUAAGAAAAUGAGUAAGAAAAUGAGGGUUAAUGUAACAAAAUUCUUGUUCUUGUUGUGUCCAAAUUAAUGCCCAAAUGUCAAACAUUUAUAGUGCAUUAUAUGACCAUUCACAUGAGUGAAAACACCCUUUUGACUUGAAUCAAUGAUAUGGUUCAUUAAGCACUCAUUUGCCAAAUGUUAUGAUCAUAUACACUUGAAUCAAUGCUAUGGUUCAUUAAGUAUCCAUUUACCAAAUGUUAUAAUGUAUAUGAAUGAUUCCCAUAAAGAGUUAUAACUUUUGGUUCUAAAGUGAUUCCAUUAUUUUAGAAAUCACCAACAAAACAUUCAAGACACAUAAUCUAGAAAGAGAAAUCAACAACUCGAAGAAUAAUAUACUCCCUCCGUCCCAAAUUGUAAGACGUUUUGGACAUUUCACACAUAUAUUAAGAAAUGCAAUUAAUAUUGUGUGGAAAAGAGAUAUUAUGAGUUGUUUUACAAAAUUGUCCUUAAUAAAUAAUAUGGGAAAAAUAAAUGAAAGAAUUGAAAUAAGAGAGAGUAAUAAAUAGUUAAGGUUAUAAGAGGAAAAGUAACGUUAAAGUUGCAUUGGUAUUGUAAAGCGACAUACAAUUUGGGACAAAUUUUUUUCCCUAAAGCGACAUACAAUUUGGGACGGAGGGAGUAUUGUCUAGUAAAUGAAAUGCAUCAAUGCUAAUCAAUAUUGAUCCUAUACAUUCAUGACUAAUCAAUGCUAAUCAAUUUACACUUAAUUUACAAUAAUGAUAUUCUAAGACUUUUAUAUAUCCCAACGGGUAUAAUAUAUACCCCAAUGGGUAUAUAGACUAAGGCCCCGUUUGGAUUGGCUUAUUUUGAGUUUAUGUGGGCUUAUCUACUUCCAUAAGCUUUUUUAAAGGUGUUUGGGUAAAUAAAUAAAAAUAGCUUAUCAUAGUUUCAUAAGCUGCUUAUGCCAUAUUUUAAUAAGCCUGAAUUUUCAGCUUACCCUCCGGCUUAACAAGGAGCUUAUGAAUUUAUGUAACCUCCUUCGAUUCUCUCUUGAUCCACUUUUUCAAAACAUAUAUAUUUAUUUUAUUUUUUAGUUUUUUUUUAUAUUUUAAUUAUAAUGUUAGUUAUCUUUGGUUGUGCAUGAGUAACAAAAUUGCUAUAUACUUAUCUUACUAAAGUAACACACGUAACUAAGAUUUUUUUUUUUUAAGGAUGAUUUUUAUUAUUUUUUUGUUACGUAACAAAAUAAAACUGAAUAAAAAAAAUAAACUUAACUUGUCUUUUUUUGAUAACAAACUGUACAUUAAUAUCUAUAUAUGGUAAGUUUACAAUCAUAAUUUCUCAAGUUUAUAUUUAUAUUAUUAUACUUUUUUUUAAAAGAAAGUUUAUCAUAUAUUAUUAUACUUGUGUAUAAUGAUGUUUAGACUAUUUAUUUACACCUCGAAUGUUAAUUUUGUCUUAUAUGAAUAUUGAUAUUUUUUUAAGGACGAAUAUUGAUUAUACUAUAUAUAUAAUUAUAAUUAAUAUAUUAUAAUAUUAUUUUUUACAUCUUGAUUAAUUUUAUCAAAAAAAAUCUUGAUAAUUGUGGUUCGAUUCUUUGAUUUUUUUGUUAAAUUAAAAAUAUUUAAAAUUUUGAGAUAAUUGCUUAUGUAAUGUCACAUCCAAACACUUCAAUUUAUGUAAGUACUUUUUAGUGUACAUAUCCAAACAUAAAUAGCUUAUCAAGUAUAAGAGCUUAUGAUGUAAGCUAUAAUGUUAUAAGCAUCUAUAUAAGCUGUUUAUCCAAACGGGGUCUAAUAAGUAUCAAAGACUAUUAAAAAACCAUAUAGUCAACAAAUUUAUAUGAAAGCUUAUUCAUUCAGAAGAUGAGCUAUGUAUUGGAUCUUCUAGUCACAUUCUUUGUCAUAUGGUCAUCACUUAAUUUCAAAUCAUUUGAAAUAAGUUUACCAUUCGGUCGAAGAAAUGUCUCUGAACGAUUAAAGUUAUAUUCCAUCCAAAGCAUCAAUUUCAAAAGCUAGGAAGAUUUUGUAGAUAAUCACAUGACAGAGUUUUCAACAAAAGAGUUAGUUUUAUUUUAUGUAAAAGAUAAUGUUAGUGAGAUUCACGUUAUAGCUCUUCAAAAUUCACGUUGAAUAUACACUCGGUAGAUAUUCCCACAUAAAAUGGAUCCUAAAGAUAGUGUUAGUGAUAAUUGUUCAUAGGAACAUUAAAUAAAGUGGUUAUAAUAUUCAUAACUUUGAAGGUAAACAUGACUAUUUAGUAAAAUAUAUGCAUUAAAGUAAAGACGGGAAUCAAACCAAGUUCAAAGAAAACUUUAAAUCUAAUCAAUAUUAAUGCAGUUUCUCUAGACAUAGUCGAACAAAAUAAACACGAAUAUAAAAGAGAUGGGGCUUAAGAAAACCAAACAAUAUUCUUAAAAAAAUUAAAAAAAAAACCAAAAUGUAACACCACAAAGAUAAUUUUAUACGCCACAGAGAGUUUAACACCUACACACGACGCCCUUUCUUGUUUUUUAUAUCUUGUCAGUCUCUGUUUGUCUUGAGUGGUGACCUGGUUAUUAAUAAAUUUAGUUGUUCAAAAAAGUGAGACUUAUUAUAUGGGGGUGCAUUUAGCAUAUGAUAAUGUGUAACUUGCAAAGCCCACAAGUGUGCUCUCUUGGCUUGCAGAAGCACAAAAUUGGUUGCCUUACUUCAAGAGCACAUAAGUGAUUAUGUAAAAUAUGGUCUUUUUGUUUAAGCAACAUGACACUAACCUAAAUCACUUUUAGUAAACCCUAUUCUUUCUGAAACCCUGAAACUAAACCCUCUUUCCUCUUUCUAAGUGUUCAUCAAAUUAGCUAGCACAAUGAGUACAUGAGUUAUGUUAGUGUAGACUGAGUAAAAACAUCGCUAUUUUUCUUUUCUAAUGGUCAUCCUUACACUUGAUAAUCGUAUAUUCUAAAUUUAGAAGUAGAAUAAAUAAUAAAUAUUUUUUACCAAUGAAUAAAUAAUAAAUAUUAAUAAUGAUAUAUUGACAUUAUUAAUUAAAGUGAAUAAUAAUUAUGUACUGACAUUGUUAUUUUUAUAUUGUUAUUGUCAAAAAGAUUUAAAGGCAGGCGAAACAUUUUUUCAAGAAAAAACAAAGUGCAAAUGACAAACUUGACAUCUAAACUAUGUUGGCUUCCCAUUAUUAUAAUCUAUAAUUUGCAGCACUCUAAAAUUAUUAUAAAUAAAUAAAUGAAAAAUGAAAAUUACAAAUAUUGAGGGGACUAGACCAAAACCUAAUAAAAGUUAACCAAGUGAUUUUAGAAUGUCCCUUGUUAACCUAUUGGGAUAAAACCCGAGUACGGGAAAAAGGUACAUAACAACUAAACAACAUAAAGGCAACAUAAACAUAAAUCAAAGUGCAUAGGAUAUGACAUGAAAAUAAAUUAUAUGUAACAUAUAAUUAUUUUACAUAUUAAUGGUUAAUAAUCCAACCACAAACAAAAUAAGUUAACGCACAACAAGUAUUGUUCAGGAAUGUUACACCCAAUUUUGUGGUUAUUUACUCGACAAUGAAUGUGACUGUUGCAUGAAACAAACACUGCAAUGUAAAAUAACAUUAAAGUAUUUUUAUUAAAAGAGUAUGAAAUAUUGUGUCUAAUAUAAAUAAGAAAAUGAGAAAAUAAUGUCGAAAAUUACUUACCGCCAUUGGUUACAUGGAGAUAUGUAUAAAGGAAGAUUAUCAGAGCAAAAAAAACUUUGAAAUGUGAGUCAUUGUUUUGAAAAAUUUUAAAGAGAUCGUUUUUGUAAAAUGAUAUGAACUUGGCGUGAUUUUGUGAUUUCAUGGAAUUGGCCUAGGAUACUUGUAUGCCUAAGAUACAAUGGAUUAACCAUUUUAUAAGUAAAAGUUUAUUGCUUGAAUUGACAUCAAUUAAAUAAAUUAAAGCUAUUGUUAAAUGGCUCUAAGGUAUAUCAGUGUGCCAAGUUUAUCCUUUAGCGCACUCAAUUAACCAGUUAAGCAUAAUAAAGAUCUCAAAUAAAAAAAAAUUAAGCCCAUAAAAAAUUUAGUAGAUUUUUUUAUUUUUUAGCCUAUCAUGAUAGAGAGGGGACAAAAUACCCAAAGAUAAAUAAUGGCAAGGUAAUUAAAAUCGGAUCGAACCAUCUGGUUUAACUAGUUGAACCGGGAACCGGACCUAUGUCUGGUCUGAAAUAAAAAGAAAACGGGUGUUGCAACGAACCGGGAAACCAGAUAAUAAAGAUUUGUUGUGCAUAAAAAUUAAAUAACAGUAAAUAAAUAUUGUUUGGAAAAGUUAUGGAGAGAGAUGAGACUAGGUCUUCCGAAUCAUUUGAUUUUCCUUAAUUGGUACACUACACCUACUUCUCAUGAAUAUUUUUUUAGUUUUAUGAUGAUUAACUAAAAUAGCCCUAAUCAAUCCCUUGACUUAGGACCCUCUUCUCAGAUUACAACCCCUAAAUCCUUAGGUGAUCUAAUAUUCUUUGAAGGUUUGAAGAAUGUUAACCUAAUAUCACAAAUACUUGAUUGAGGUGUAUUGUUUUGAAAAAUGUCAAAAAGAUUGUUUUUGUAAAAUGAUACGAACUUGGCGUGAUUUUGUGAUUUCUUGGAAUUGGCCUUGAAUACUUGUCUGCCUAAGCUACUAUGGAUUAACCAUUUUAUAAGUAAAAGUUUAUUGCUUUACCAACAUCAAUUAAAUAUAUUUUAACACUAAAGAGGUGAAAAAUUGUUUACUAUAUUAAAGUUAUUGUUAAAUGGCUCUAAGGUAUAUCAGUGUGCCAAGUUUAUCCUUUGGCGCACUCAAUUAACCAUUUAAGCAUAAUAAGGAUCUCAAAUAAAAAAUUUAAACCCGGCAAAAAUUUAGUAGAUUUUUUAUUUUUUAGCCUAUCAUGAUAGAGAGGGGACAAAAUACCCAAAUAUAAAUAAUGGCAAGGUAAUUAAAAUCGGAUCGAACCAUCUGGUUUGACUCGUUGAACUAGGAACCAGAACUAUGUCUGGUCUGAAAUACAAAGAAAACUGGUGUCGCAACGAACCGGGAAACCAGAUAAAAACUGGAUGAACCGGGAAAACCAGCGGGCUACACGGUUUGGCAGGUUGAACCGCAUUUUACAAUUUUUUUGAAAAAAAAUCUCAAACCAGAUUUGUUAUGCCAUAAGUCUGAACUAAGAAAAGUUAUGGUGGUUUUAUAGCAAGAAGACAUAAAUCUAAGUAGAAUAAAAAUAUAGAGGAGACCAUGAAAUGGAGAUCUUGGAGAAAAAACGAAAAGGAUAAUCAUAGUUGGUGGGUUGCGUUGCUGCUAUUUAGAAAUUAGGGUUAGUGUGACAUUUAUACUUAUAAUAACUGAUAGACUUUUAGAAGGUGUACUAAAACUAUUGAACUAAUACAAUUAAUGUUGUUUCCAUGAGAACAAUAUUAAUCUCAAGUAAACGAUAGCAUUAUGAAAUAGGAUGUGUAAAGUUAUUUAGUGCCUGAGACAGUAGAUUUGUUGUGCAUAAAAAUUAAAUAACAGAAAAUAAAGAUUGUUUGGAAAAGUUAUGGAGAGAGAUGAGACUAGGUCUUUCGAAUACUUUGAUUUCCCCUAAUUGAUACACUACACCUAUUUCUCAUGAAUAUUUCUCUAGUUUUACGAUGAUUAACUAAAAUAGCUCUAAUCAAUCCCUUGACUUAGGACCCUCUUCUCAGAUUACGAUCCCUAAUUCCUUAGGUGAUCUAAUAUACUUUAAAGGUUUGAAUAACGUUAACCUAAUAUCACAAAUACUUGAUUGAGGUGUAUUGUUUUGAAAAAUGUCAAAAAGAUCGUUUUUGUAAAAUGAUACGAACUUGGCGUGAUUUUGUGAUUUCUUGGAAUUGGCCUAGGAUACUUGUAUGCCUAAGCUACUAUGGAUUAACCAUUUUAUAAGUAAAAGUUUAUUUCUCUAUUGACAUCAAUUAAAUAUAUUUUAACACUAAAGAGGUGAAAAGUUGUUUAUUAAAUUAAAGUUAUUGUUAAAUGGCUCUAAGGUAUAAUAAUGUGUCAAGUUUAUCCUUUAGCGCACUCAAUUAACAAGUUAAGCAUAAUAAAGAUCUCAAAUAAAAAAAUUUAAGCCCGUCAAAAAUUUAGUAGAUUUUUUUUAUUUUUUAGCCUAUCAUGAUUGAGAGGGGACAAGAUACCCAAAUAUAAAUAAUGGCAAGGUAAUUAAAAUCGGAUCGGACCAUCUGGUUUGACUAGUUGAACCGGGAACUGGAACUAUGUCUGGUCUGAAAUACAAAGAAAAUUGGUGUCGCAACGAACCAGGAAACCAGAUGAACCGGGAAAACCGGCGGGCUACACAGUUUUGCAGGUUGAACUGCAUUUUUAAAAUUUUUUGAAAAAAUAACUCAAACCAGAUUUGUUAUGUCAUAAGUCUGAACUAAGAAAAGAUAUGGUGGUUUUAUAGCAAAAGGACAUAAAUCUAAGUAGAAUACAAAUACAGAUGAGACCCUGAAAUGGAGAUCUUGGAGAAAAAAUGAAAAGGAUAAUUGUAACGCCCUAUUUUAAUAUUUAUUUAUUUUAUUGAGUUUAGGUGUCUUUCCAUAAUUUAGUCGAUUUAUUCUGAUGGGUGAUAUUUUGUUAUGUUAUAUGUUGGUAUUUAUUAGUAUAAUAUAUAUGUUAUUUGGUGUAGAAAUAUAUAUAUAUUAUCUGGUGUAGAAAUAUAUAUGUUAUUUGGUGUAGAAAUAUAUAUAUUAUCUUGUGUAGAAAUAUAUAUGUUAUGUGGUGUAGAAAUAUUAUGUUAUUUGGUGUAGAAAUAUAUGUUAUCUGGUGUAGAAAUAUAUUUCUUAUUUGGUGUAGAAAUAUAUAUAUAUAUAUAUAUAUAUAUAUAUAUAUAUAUAUAUAUAUAUAUAUAUGAGGGCAAAUUUAGAAAUAAGAGAACAUAAGUAGGUUAAUGAUUUUUAUAAAAGGGCAGAUUUGGAAAUAAGAGAAAAUAAGUAGGUUAAUGAAAGUUAGAAUUAGAAAAUAAGGAUUACGUGAAACUGCUUUUGAGAGAAAAGCGUGAAAGUGAGAAGUCAAGAGAAGAGAAGAGUCAGAGAAGAGAAAGUGGUAGAAUCUUGUAGAGUCCGAUCAUCUAAUCUAAGGUAAGGGUGGGACUAAAUUUCUCUAAUUCUAAGUUGUAUAAUUCUGAAAUUGAGUUUAGCAUGUUGUAGGUUGUAGUUAUGGAAAUUUGGGAAUUAGGUUUGAAGUUGUAAUUGGUUGUUAAUAGAGUAGAAAAUCCGUUGAAUUUGUGUAGAAGUGAUGUUUAGAUCAUGGGUUAUUUUUAGUGCAAUCUUUUAUAUGGUUUUGAGUGCCUUAACAUGUAUAGAAAUGGUUCGACAUGUUUUUUGGAUCAAAUUUGGGCAUAGGGAAGUUAAAAUUGGGAUUUUGGGGUGAAAAGUGGGUUUUUCCCGAGUUGCUCUCUGACAGCACGUCCUGUUUCAUGUUCUUGCGUCUUUUUCACACGUUUCUGUUUUGAAUUGGCCUUUGGUGUAAACAUGAAAGUUGUAGAUAAUUGAGUUAGCUUUCCAGUGGCUUUGAUUUGACGAGAAAAUGAUUUUUGGUUCUUGAGAUAUGAUGAAAAUACUCCAAGGAGGUUUUAGUGAAAUCUUAUGAAAAUUCAGCAUAACCGUUUCUAAUUUAAUCCAAAACUUAAGGAAUAAUUCCAAACCUCAAAACUAGAAGUACUAUGAGUUCAACUAGGGUGUUUAAGAUUAUUUAAGCUAUGUUGUGAUGGAUCUAAUUUGGUUUGACGUGAAUAUCUUUGUUGGAUAAUUUGAAAUACAUAUAUUAUGUGAAUGUUGUUGUUGAAUAAUUUGAGUUACAUAUAUUUAUGUGGAAAAGGUAUGAUAUAGAAAAUAAUGUUGUUAUACCAUUCAAGUUGUUAUUAUUAAUGAUGCUAUGUUGUGAAGUUGGUGUAUGUGUUUGUCUCUACUGUAUUGAUUAUUAAAUCAUUAAGUUGCAUAUGUUGGUCAAGUUGUUAAAGUUGUAAGUUGUUGUCAAUGUAGUUAAAGUUGUAAGUUGUUAUCGAUGUCGUUGAAGUUGUUAGUUGUCGUUGCAUUAGUUGUUGAGUCCAUGCAUACUCAUUUACGUUGAGGGCAUGAUGCCAUGUGAGCUUUUGCUCUUUAAGUUGAGGGCUUGAUGCCCUGGGAGUGUAUUUAUGCUCAAUACGUUGAGGGCUUGAUGUCCUGUGAGCUUUUGCUCUUUAAGUUGAGGGCUUGAUGCCCUGAGAGUGUAUUUUUGCUCAAUAUGUUGGGGGCUUGAUGCCCUGAAUUGGUACCACAUGCAUGAUUAAGAAGUUGAAGUUGCAUAUGUUGAGUUUAAGUUGUAGAAGUCGCAUUGUCGUUGUCGUUAAGUUGUCAUUUGUCAAUGAGUUGUUAAUAAAGAACUAAGCGAAGUAUUAAUAUUUAUUAAUCGUUGUUGUUUAUGUCGUUAUGAGAUGAUGUUUAUGAUGUUGUUAUUUAUGUCGUUAUGAGAUGAUGUUUAUGAUGUGUUGUUUAUGUUGUUAUAAGAUGAUGUUUAUGAUGUGAUGAUUAUGUCGUUAUAUGAUGAUGUUUAUGAUCUGAUUAUUAUGUGCUAUAUGAUGUUGUAUAUAAUGUGAUGAAUAUGAAGUUAAUAAUGAUUAGAAGUUGGUUGAGUUAUUAAUGAAGUAUUAUAACAAGAGUUAAUGUUAUUAAUUGAUGAAGUUUAAGUUGUUAAAUGCUUUUGAUGAAUUAUAUGCUUAUUAUUAUUGAAUGUGAAAUCUCACCCCUUCUGCUUGGAAAUGUUGCCCUCACAAUUGGGUAACUUGCAGGUAAUCUAGAAUAGUUGUGGUCGUGAGUGGACUCUCUCACGUGUCAUCGUCUUAAGUGCUCUGAUACGUAACGGGAUGAGAAUUUUGUUGUUGCUCUUUGUUCCUUACGUAUUAUUUUAUGAAGUUUUAUGAACAUGUUGUUGGAAUAAUUUUAUGAGAUUUUACCUUGAGGCCUUUGUGUCAAGGUUGUUUUAAACGUUAAAAUAAUUUCCGCUACAAUAAGAUUUAAUUUGAUGAUUGAGAUAAUUAGUAAUUUUACUAUAUUCAGAUUUGAAAGAAGUGUAACAUCCAGUUUUUAGUUGUUUACUCUGAUAUAAGUGAAAUUUUUCAAGUUGGGAAAACGGGGUGUUACAAUAAUCAUAGUUGGUGGGUUGCGCUGAUGCUGCUAUAUAUUCAGAAAUUAGGGUUAGUGUGUCAUUUAUACUUAUAAUAACUGAUAGACUUUUAGCAGGUGUACUGAAACUAUUGAAGUAAUACAAUUAAGUUCUUUUCCAUGAGAACCGUGUUAAUCUCAAGUAAACAAUAGCAUUAUGAAACAGGAUGUGUAAAGUUAUAUUAGUGCCCGAGGCAGCAGGUGCAUAAAAAUUAAAGGCUAAAAUAUGGUUUUGGUCCCUCAAAUAUGCCUCGUUUUGGUUUUAGUCACUGUAAAUUUUUUUUGUUGUUUUUGGUCCCUGCAAAUAUGCCUCAUUUUGAUUUUGGUCCCUGGCUCCACUUUUGUGAUGAUUUGCACACGUGGCACAUGAUGACUGAACCCAUUUAUUAGAGAAAUAGUCCCUGCAAAAUCUUUUGAUUUUACAAGGACCAAAAACAACAAAUUUUUUUUACAGGGACUAAAACCAAAAUGAGGCAUAUUUGCAGGGACCAAAACCAUAUUUUAGCCAAAAUUAAAUAACAGAAAAUAAAGAUUGUUUGGAAAAGUAAUGGAGAGAGAUGAGACUAGGUCUUUCGAAUCAUUUGAUUUUCCCUAAUUGGUACACUGCACCUAUUUCUCAUGAAUAUUUCUCUAGUUUUACGAUGAUUAACUAAAAUAGCCCUAAUCAAUCCAUUGACUUAGGAUUCUCUUCUCAUAUUACAAUCCCUAAUUCCUUAGGUGAUCUAAUAUACUUUAUAGGUUUGAAGAACAUUAACCUAAUAUCACAAAUACUUGAUUGAGGUGUAUUGUUUUGAAAAAUGUGAAAAAGAUCGUUUUUGUAAAAUGAUACGAACUUGGCGUAAUUUUGUGAUUUCUCGGAAUUGGCCUAGGAUACUUGUAUGCCUAAGCUACUAUGGAUUAACCAUUUUAUAAGUAAAAGUUUAUUUCUUUAUUGACAUCAAUUAAAUA
rnacentral:lncRNA from 1 species